AAGUCGUAACAAGGUAACCGUAGGUGAACCUGCGGUUGGAUCAUUACCAAAUAUCCAAUGGGAAAGAGCGUUCCUAGUGCAGUCUAACGACCGCAUUAGGCCCACGUCUCUUUUUCCAUUUCCCCACCUCUUGUGCAAUGUAAUGUAUUUGGCGGGCCAUGCUCGGCGGUUACUAGGAUUUGUGCCUAGUAAUGGUUGGAGAUUGCUUAUGAAGGCGGCCCUACACGGACCGCCCUCAACCGUCAUUUUAACACACCUAAUAUUAUCUAUACCAAUAAUCUGACGUUUAUAUGCUAGGGGGCGCGUUUGCGUAACCUGGAACAUAACCGAAAACAACUUUUGACAACGGAUCUCUUGGCUCUC
rnacentral:misc_RNA from 1 species